UUAAAUUGAAGAGUUUGAUCAUGGCUCAGAUUGAACGCUGGCGGCAGGCCUAACACAUGCAAGUCGAACGGUAACAGGAAGCAGCUUGCUGCUUCGCUGACGAGUGGCGGACGGGUGAGUAAUGUCUGGGAAACUGCCUGAUGGAGGGGGAUAACUA
rnacentral:rRNA from 8 species